UCCCUCCUGGCUCAGAUGGUAAAGAUUCUACCUUCAAUGCAGAAGACCUGGGUUCAAUUCCUGGGUUGGGAA
rnacentral:tRNA from 1 species